UUCCUGUUUUGCAUCUUAGCCAUGAGGAGAACAUUGUCACUUCUCAUGACUACCUGCCAUUACCAUCAGCCUCCCCUAGAAGAGGCCUAAAAACAAGUUCCUGCUUCAGUUAAGAAAUCAGUGGGUCAUCCUCAAUGUUACAUGUAGCCUUCUGAUGCAGAGCAAGGACUGGCAGUGGAAACGAAGGGAAUGAGCCUCCCCUGAGAAGCUGACUUUGAAAUGAGAAGAGCAGCAUCUCCCAGAGUAACUCCAGACACAGCCACCAGUUACUAAAUGUGUAAGACUUUUCAAAGUGCAUGGCUCCAACAGUUCUUAUUUCUGCUCAUGCCCGCC